GGCGGGUUAGUAAAGCAAUUACACAGCCUUGUCAAGGCUUAAUCACUGGUGAAACCCCUGUACCCCCCA
rnacentral:tRNA from 1 species